CUCUUCCAAAAGUAAACGCCAUUAUUGAUAACUUCUCUCUCUCUCCAUAAGCUGUUCAUCUCCCCCAACCACAACAAACCAACUAGCUUUGCUUUGGUCUCUGUCCAGAACAAGAGCAUCCUGAUUAAAGCUAACCCCCUUUCGUUUUUCUUUUAAAUUUUCCAAUUGGUUUUGUCUGAAAGAAUAUUUUACCGGAAAGCAAAAAAAAAAAGAGAAAACUUGGAGAAGAAUGAGAGAAAAGGAAUAAACAAAUUCUAAAGCCUCAAAUUUGGAAUAUUCCCAUUUCUCUCAUCUUCCUUUCUUCCUUAUUGCUUUGUGACCUCUGUUUCAUUUUUUUCUUUCUUUCAAUCUCUCUGUUCCUCUGUAACAGUAAAGCUUCAUCAAAAUCUCGAAAGCCUCUCCCUUUGAUCUGUUUAUUUUAAUCUGAUUCUCAUUACUUUCUCAAUCGAAUUUGAAUCUUUAUUGGAUUUUUUUAGAUCUGGUGCUGUAAUAACAAAUCAGCUGCUCUGUUUUUUUUUUUGUUUAAAGUUUCAAAAUUUGGGAGCGUGUUUUAAUGGAUUUGGAUGAUUUCCGGACGGUUAUGGACAACGCCGGCGUCGAUGUUUGGACAUUCAUCGACACUGCGAUCCUCGUGGCUUCGCUUGACUACGGUCACGAGCUGAAGCAGAGGAGAGACAACAUCGUCGAGCGUCUCUACGCCACCUCCAUGGCGAACAAGUGUAGAAACUGCGACUAUGGCGGCGGCGGGGGAACCGUUGUGGAAGAUAGGGCUAAUGGGAGGGUUCACGAGGAGGAGACGGAGGAGGAAGAAGAAGUAAGAGAGAAAACAGUUAAUGGUGAUGACGAAGAGGACGAUGAGGAUCCGUUUGCUGGUUUGUUUGAUGAUGAGCAGAAGAGUAUUCUUGAAAUCAAGGAGAAGCUUGAAGAACCUAAUCUGACAGAAGAAGCUUUGGUGGAGUUGCUUCAGAAUCUGGAAGAUAUGGAGAUUACAUUCCAAGCUCUUCAGGAAACUGAUAUUGGGAGGUAUGUGAAUAGAGAUCGAGUUCGGAAGCAUCCAUCCAACGAAGUUCGGAGAUUAGCUAAACAACUUGUCAAAAAAUGGAAAGAGACAGUGGACGAAUGGGUCAAAUUCAACCAGCCUGGUGAUCUCCAUCCUCCGAGUUUAAUAGCUGAUGAGGACUCACCGCAGCAGAGAGCUGUCCACCAACAAGUUCCUGACUUUGGGUAUUCACCAGUUCCUCAAGCAAGUAAGCAUAGUAACAUCACUAAGCCAGAGAGGAAGCCUAGACCUGUUGCUCCUCCUCCUCCUAGGAGAGAAUCUCCUUCUCCUGCUAAACCUUCUCGUCCUGCUCCUUCUCAACAACAACCCAUUCAGAGGGAGAAGGAGCAUAAAGAAAUUGAUUUUGACUCGGCUCGGAAAAGACUACAACAAAACUACAGACAUGCGGAGAAUGCUAAAAAGCAAAGGACUAUACAGGUGAUGGACAUUCAUGAGAUCCCUAAACCCAAGAAAGGUGGAUUUUUCCCAAGAAAAGGUGGGAGUUCUCAGGGAGGUGGUAGACACUGGUAGACUAAAUGAAGAAGGUGAUGAAGAGAGUUGAGUGAAACGAGUUAGUAGAGGAAUGUAAAAGACAGAGAACAAAGCUCUGUUUUUUGAGACAGGCACAAGAGGUCUAAAAGUAUGUUUCAAGUAUUUGGAAUUAAGUUGAUUCACAGUUUGCUGGAGUUUUUUUUUAUUCAGUUGCUGUCAAUGUAAAUAAAUGUCUAAUAAACGGGUCAAUGUAAAGUGAGGAUUGUAAUCUUUGUUGAGCUUAUCUUUUAGUUUUUUUUUUUUUUCUCUGGAUA